rnacentral:lncRNA from 1 species
UCUUUCUUUCUUUCCUUUUUCUUUUUUUUUUAAACAAAUAAUGAAUACUAGUAAAUUUGAAACUAACUGAUGUGCCAAGAACUCAACGAUGAUGCAAUGCCAUGAGAGCAAUGCAAAGGCUGCCCAUCUGAGAGUCUGAAGCAAAGGGAACUAACUCCUGGUCCAGGGGAUGUAUAACCUGGCCUGGAAGGCGUUGUGCCUGUGUUGACCUAGCUGGCUUGGAGGACCGUUGAUUAAAGGGGGAGUGAUUGCUCUUUGUCCUUUGGUAAGUGAAGGAACAGAAGAAGAUAAUUAUUUGGAAAAGAAGAAUCACCAGUCACAGGUAAAGACCUGAAUGAUUCUCCUACGAG